UACGUAGGGUGCAAGCGUUAAUCGGAAUUACUGGGCGAAAAGCGUGCGCAGGCGGUUGUGUAAGACAGAUGUGAAAUCCCCGGGCUCAACCUGGGAACUGCAUUUGUGACUGCACAGCUGGAGUGCGGCAGAGGGGGAUGGAAUUCCGCGUGUAGCAGUGAAAUGCGUAGAUAUGCGGAGGAACACCGAUGGCGAAGGCAAUCCCCUGGGCCUGCACUGACGCUCAUGCACGAAAGCGUGGGGAGCAAACAGG
rnacentral:rRNA from 1 species